rnacentral:rRNA from 1 species
GACGAACGCUGGCGGCGUGCCUAAUACAUGCAAGUAGAACGCUGAAGGAGGAGCUUGCUUCUCUGGAUGAGUUGCGAACGGGUGAGUAACGCGUAGGUAACCUGCCUGGUAGCGGGGGAUAACUAUUGGAAACGAUAGCUAAUACCGCAUAAGAGUAGAUGUCGCAUGACAUUUGCUUAAAAGGUGCAAUUGCAUCACUACCAGAUGGACCUGCGUUGUAUUAGCUAGUUGGUGAGGUAACGGCUCACCAAGGCAACGAUACAUAGCCGACCUGAGAGGGGGAUCGGCCACACUGGGACUGGGACACGGCCCAGACUCCUACGGGAGGCAGCAGUAGGGAAUCUUCGGCAAUGGACGGAAGUCUGACCGAGCAACGCCGCGUGAGUGAAGAAGGUUUUCGGAUCGUAAAGCUCUGUUGUAAGAGAAGAACGAGUGUGAGAGUGGAAAGUUCACACUGUGACGGUAUCUUACCAGAAAGGGACGGCUAACUACGUG